rnacentral:rRNA from 1 species
GCUGCACUAGUCUCUAUGGUAGUACUGUUGCGGCCGGGUCUUUUCCUUCUGGCUAACUCUUCGGAGUGAACCAGGACGAUUACUUUGAGGAAAUUAGAGUGUUCAAAGCAGGCCUUUGCUCGGAUAUAUUAGCAUGGAAUAAUAGAAUAGGACGUUAUGGUUCUAUUUUGUUGGUUUCUAGGACCAUCGUAAUGAUUAAUAGGGAUAGUUGGGAA